GAUCAUGGCUCAGGAUGAACGCUAGCUACAGGCUUAACACAUGCAAGUCGAGGGGCAGCAUGACCUAGCAAUAGGUUGAUGGCGACCGGCGCACGGGUGAGUAACACGUNUCCAACCUACCGGUUAUUCCGGGAUAGCCUUUCGAAAGAAAGAUUAAUACCGGAUAGUAUAACGAGAAGGCAUCUUCUUGUUAUUAAAGAAUUUCGAUAACCGAUGGGGAUGCGUUCCAUUAGUUUGUUGGCGGGUAACGGCCC
rnacentral:rRNA from 1 species